GACGAACGCUGGCGGCGUGCCUAAUACAUGCAAGUCGAGCGCAGGAAAUCGACGGAACCCUUCGGGGGGAAGUCGACGGAAUGAGCGGCGGACGGGUGAGUAACACGUAAAGAACCUGCCCUCAGGUCUGGGAUAACCACGAGAAAUCGGGGCUAAUACCGGAUGGGUCAUCGGACCGCAUGGUCCGAGGAUGAAAGGCGCUUCGGCGUCGCCUGGGGAUGGCUUUGCGGUGCAUUAGCUAGUUGGUGGAGUAAUGGCCCACCAAGGCGACGAUGCAGAGCCGACCUGAGAGGGUGAUCGGCCACACUGGGACUGAGACACGGCCAGACUCCUACGGGAGGCAGCAGUAGGGAAUCUUCCACAAUGGACGAAAGUCUGAUGGAGCAACGCCGCGUGAACGAUGAAGGCCUUCGGGUCGUAAAGUUCUGUUGUAAGGGAAGAACAAGUGCCGCAGGCAAUGGCGGCACCUUGACGGUACCUUGCGAGAAAGCCACGGCUAACUACGUGCCAGCCGCCGCCGUAA
rnacentral:rRNA from 1 species